CCUACGGGAGGCAGCAGUGGGGAAUAUUGGACAAUGGGGGCAACCCUGAUCCAGCCAUGCCGCGUGUGUGAAGAAGGCCCUCGGGUUGUAAAGCACUUUCAGUGAGGAAGAACGCCUGGUGGUUAAUACCCAUCAGGAAAGACAUCACUCACAGAAGAAGCACCGGCUAACUCCGUGCCAGCAGCCGCGGUAAUACGGAGGGUGCGAGCGUUAAUCGGAAUUACUGGGCGUAAAGCGCGCGUAGGUGGCUUGAUAAGCCGGUUGUGAAAGCCCCGGGCUCAACCUGGGAACGGCAUCCGGAACUGUCAAGCUAGAGUGCAGGAGAGGAAGGUAGAAGUCCCGGUGUAGCGGUUAAAUGCGUAGAGAUCGGGAGGAAUACCAGUGGCGAAGGCGGCCUUCUGGACUGACACUGACACUGAGGUGCGAAAGCGUGGGUAGCAAACAGGAUUAGAUACCCUGGUAGUC
rnacentral:rRNA from 1 species